AGAGCCCCCCACCCCUCCCUGGGCCUCCAGACAGCAGCCCCUUGCUGUUCUGGUUUCUACCUCGAGGAAGACGAGGAAGAAAGGCCACAGCAGAGCGGCAGAAACAAAGAUUGAUGGUGUCCUUUAACACCAACACUUAAACACACCUGUGCCCUCUCAGUCCCCCAGUGGAUGCUGGAGAUCAUCAUGCUCUGGUGGGCUGCCCACUGCUCUUGGACAUCCUCCGCUCCUCCUCCCAGCUCCAGAGACGACAAAAGCACCCCCCGGUGCCAGGCACUGGAGCGGACCCUGGUGGCCCAAGGGUCAACGAGACAGGCCCCACCCCUGCCUUCAGGGAAGCAACAGACACAGGAAUUACAAAGGUCAGGAGGGUCCAAGAAGAGGUGCUAUGGGAACCCACCAAUCUGGAGCCAGAUGGGAAGGGGAAGGCUUCCAGGUAGAAAUAGUUUAUGCCAGGGCCCAAAGGACAAGAAGAAAAGCCAGAGGAGAAGGGAAAUCUGAGUUAGGUACCAUGAGCUCAUUUAUAGGCGGGAAAACUGAGGCUCCAUGUGUGUAAUUAACUUGCCUGUGGUCCCGUGGCUAGGAUGUGGUGGCCUUGGGAUCCACACUGGAGCACUGCCACCCCAUCCUGUAAGACAGAAGGGUGACAUCUACAGGGAGACUGGAACCCACAAGGGCCUGUGGGAAAAUUGGACCCUAGGUCCCCACUAACCUGUUCUCUCUUUUAUCUGCCGGAGCUGCCAGGAUGUCCAGGGAGCAGGGGAGCCCCUCAGGGAACAAUGAUCAGGGCAGGCUGCCCUCUCCAGGGCCAGCCAGAGUGAGCAAACGUCUCAGCCUCAGCACCGUCGGCCUGUCGCACCCCUCCAAGCAGGACCUGGGAGCUGCAGCUUACAUGCAGGUGAGGAAGCUGAGGCUCAGCAAGAUGAACUGACAUCCUGAGAGGGCCUGAGAAGGGAUGGGAACCCUUGGCUGACUCAGCCAUCCUGGGCCUCAGCUGCUCACAGCCCUGCACCACCUGGGACCAAGGUGUGGGUAGCCACCAUCAGUGACGUGUGUUGAGUCCAUGACGCAGCAGACACCGGUCCUCCUGGAGUUCUGUGAGCUGCUUCUGGAUGACCAGGAGGGCCACCAAGUCUGCGCUUACCCGUCCACUGCCCUCGGACACAGGAGAUGAACUGGAGUCCACAGAGGGUGAGAGCGUGCACUGAGCACAGCGCGAUGUACAUCUGAAGGGGAGACACCCAUCAGCGACAGCCAGGCACAGACGUCUUUCUGGGAGCAAAGGCCACUUAACUGCACGCUUACUCCUCGAUUUUGUUUGUCAGUGAAAAUGAGUUGGGGGAGGAAGCAGCAGCAGCGGUCUACACCUGCCACCUGCCUCUCUGGGGUCAUACCGGACCAAGUGAAAUAAUCUCGAAGGAAAAUAUGCACUAGGGAAAUUGUUCUAACACUUGGGCAAGAUCCUAUUAACAAUUGGGAUUCAAGGAUUCUGAGAGAGAAUUAAACCGCUGUAAAGCACCUAAAAUAACACAGGCAACAUAAACUUAUCUGUUGGAUGACUUCCUACCAAGGGCAGAAUUUGAAUCUCAGAGAAGCAGCUGGAGAGAAACUGGUCUGAUGUUAGAAUAAACUGACCUGCUCCAGGCAAGAUUCUAGGUAAAGAACUGAAACUCAGUGUAAACCACUACACAAAUAUUUCUACUCACGGUAAAG